rnacentral:rRNA from 1 species
GACGAACGCUGGCGGCGCGCCUAACACAUGCAAGUCGAACGGAGUCACGAGGAGCUUGCUUUUCUUGACUUAGUGGCGAACGGGCGAGUAACGCGUGAGUAACCUGCCCUGGAGUGGGGGACAACAGUUGGAAACGACUGCUAAUACCGCAUAAGCCCACGGAUCCGCAUGGAUCUGCGGGAAAAGGAUUUAUUCGCUUCAGGAUGGACUCGCGUCCAAUUAGCUAGUUGGUGAGGUAACGGCCCACCAAGGCGACGAUUGGUAGCCGGACUGAGAGGUUGAACGGCCACAUUGGGACUGAGACACGGCCCAGACUCCUACGGGAGGCAGCAGUGGGGGAUAUUGCACAAUGGGGGAAACCCUGAUGCAGCGACGCCGCGUGGAGGAAGAAGGUUUUCGGAUUGUAAACUCCUGUCGUUAGGGACGAUAAUGACGGUACCUAACAAGAAAGCACCGGCUAACUACGU